CCUCAGGGUGAAAUGGCGGCACCGCCAGCGCUUAGCGGGGUUUUCAUGGGACAUUCUGGGCAUUGCCCGCUCGGUCUCGCCGCCCCCCCCGCGCCUCUGACCCCGGGCACGGAGGCUUUGGGAAAGCACCUAUUUUUUCUGAAUUUUGGAAUGUUUGGCAGAACCUACCACUCAAAUGUCCACGUAUGAACUAGUAGAGUGAGAUGCUGAAGCUGGAAAAAGUAGCUUUGUUGCCAUUAACUUCACCUCUACAGUCAAAUAACCAACCAUGGAAACAAAUGGCACUAUGAAGAUAAGCAGCUGUGCUGGCCAUCACCAUGCAGGAGCAAAAUAUUGGAGUUUGUGAUGUUGCAGAGCAGUAGCUUAUAAAAUCUUAGACAUUAAGAACAAAUAUAGAGGACAGAGAACAUUA